rnacentral:rRNA from 1 species
AUUGAACGCUGGCGGCAUGCUUUACACAUGCAAGUCGAACGGUAACAGGCCGCAAGGUGCUGACGAGUGGCGAACGGGUGAGUAAUGCAUCGGAACGUGCCCAGUCGUGGGGGAUAACGCAGCGAAAGCUGCGCUAAUACCGCAUACGAUCUAUGGAUGAAAGCGGGGGACCGUAAGGCCUCGCGCGAUUGGAGCGGCCGAUGUACGAUUAGGUAGUUGGUGGGGUAAAGGCUCACCAAGCCAACGAUCUGUAGCUGGUCUGAGAGGACGACCAGCCACACUGGGACUGAGACACGGCCCAGACUCCUACGGGAGGCAGCAGUGGGGAAUUUUGGACAAUGGGCGCAAGCCUGAUCCAGCAAUGCCGCGUGCAGGAAGAAGGCCUUCGGGUUGUAAACUGCUUUUGUACGGAACGAAAAGGCUCUGGAUAAUACCUGGGGCUCAUGACGGUACCGUAAGAAUAAGCACCGGCUAACUACGUGCCAGCCGCCGCCGUAAAAC